UACGUAGGGUGCAAGCGUUGUCCGGAAUUAUUGGGCGUAAAGAGCUCGUAGGCGGUUUGUCGCGUCUGCUGUGAAAACUCGGGGCUUAACUCCGGGCCUGCAGUGGGUACGGGCAGACUGGAGUGCGGUAGGGGAGAAUGGAAUUCCUGGUGUAGCGGUGAAAUGCGCAGAUAUCGGGAGGAACACCAGUGGCGAAGGCGGCACUCUGGGCCGGUACUGACGCUGAGGAGCGAAAGCGUGGGGAGCGAACAGG
rnacentral:rRNA from 1 species